UACAGAGGGGGCAAGCGUUAGGCGGAAUCACUGGGCUUAAAGCGUGUGUAGGUGGAUGCCUAAGUACCUUGUGAAAUCCCACGGCUUAACCGUGGAACUGCUUGGUAUACUGGGUGUCUUGAGCCAGCUAGGGGCUACCGGAACAAAUGGUGGAGCGGUGAAAUGCGUAGAUAUCAUUUGGAACGCCAAUGGUGAAAACAGGUAGCUGGGGCUGUGCUGACACUGAGACACGAAAGCCAGGGGAGCAAACAGG
rnacentral:rRNA from 1 species